UUUCCCGUUUUUCCCCAGAGCUGCAGCGAACAUGUCUGAACCUUAUUUUAUCUUCAGCAUUUAAUCUUUUGCCAUCCACGAAUAAACUUCGUUGAAGCAAUGCUAGUUGUCACAUCCUUGACGAGAACACUACAGUGAAAAAGCAAGAUUUCAAGUUGUCAAAAUGGCAACGAGCAGGAGGUCAUCUUUGUCCUCCAGUACAAAGACGUCUAAAUCUUCAGCCAGUGUAUUUCGAGCUAGAGCCAAAGCAGAGGCUGCCAAGGUAAGAGCAUUAUAUGCAAGCCACGAAGCUAAACUCAAACUGGAGAAGGCUGUCAAAGAGGCAGAAAAAGCUAAAAGAUGCUCAAAGUCAACUGGAAACUGUACAACUUGACACAGAGUUGGAAAUGUUAAAGUUUCAAAAAGAGGCUGCUGCAGCAGCAGCUGAAGCUCAAGUCUUAGAACAGGCUGAGGCAGUUCAAGUUUAGGAUGAAACCAGGAUGUCUGAUUCGGACAAUGGUGAAAAUUGGACGAAUUAGCGAGUUUUGUUCAGUCUAAAAUUCAGAUCAAGCUUCUCCACAGCAUGCUGAUUCACAUGCUAAUGACCUUCCAAAAGUGACACAGUGUAAAAACAGAGAAAUCUGAAAACGUUGAACCACGUGAACCAAUGUUUUCAUCCAAACCUCAUCCACAAUCUUACAGCAAAAAAGACAGCCAACCUUUUUAUUCUAAUUAUGUCCCAUUGGCUGCCAGGUCUAGAGAACCAGUAAACAGGAUAUUGACGUUUGAGCCGUUGGCUCAGUACAACUUUGUCAGUUCAGGUCUUUACCAAUUCGAUAAUAAGCCUGGAAAUUAUCGAGCCUGGUACUCUUCGUUUAACAGUGCUGUUAGUGAGGUUCGACUCAAGGCAACUCAGGAAUUGGACCUCAUGACUAAAUGGCUUGGAAAAGAGUCAAGUGAACAGUUCAGUUCAUGUUGGAGAUCCUCAAAUAGCUUUGAACAAAGCAUGGGGGAGACUAUGUGAGUUUUAUGCUGCUCCAGAGAUCAUUGAAAGGUCUCUGUUUCAAAGACUGGAAGGCUUCCCUAAAAUCUCAGCUAAAGAUAAUGUCAGGUUACGAGACUUUGGGGAUUUAUUGAUGGAGAUACAAGGAGCCAAAGAGGACGGAUAUCUCACUGGACUUGCAUACCUGGAUACAUCACAUGGAAUCAGCCCGAUAGCUUCCCUUUGCACUACACGAGAAAUGGAUCUCUGCAGGCUCAUGGUAUAAAGAACAAAACCAAGGUCGCUUCCCUCCCUUUGACUAUUUUUAUGACUUUGUUCACUACGAAGCAAAGAAAAGAAAUGACCCAAGUUUCAUAAGUCAAGAUAACACAGUCACGUUUGUCAAAUCAGAGAGAGGAAUUGACAUGACGCCGACCAAGCCCCUUUGCGGAAGUAGAGCUGUCCUCCGACAAGCUAACUGUUAUUAUGGCAAACUAACGGACCUCAAUUACCCGAGACAUAUUUUGUGUCAUUUUUGUCACACACAGAAACAUCUACCAGCUACGUGCAGCUAUGUUGCGCUUCGCCACCCGUUUGUUGAGACUGGGAUGAUAUGAAAUAAAUUUUCCGGUUUUUCCGUAAAGCUACUCUUAUGCUAAUCAUCUAAUGCGGAACCGCCCGCAGUGUUCAGUCUAUCUGCUCACCUGUAUAAAUACACCUGCAGCGCUCUUCCCCACUGAUUGCUCUGAACCGCCACAGGGGAGCAGCUCCGGGAGGAGAAAAGCUGCCGUACUCCAGGCAUCGUGACAGUCAUUUUAAGGAUGCUUAUUGGUCCCUCGAAAAACGACAUAGACCCAGACAUUAUCAUCAAUCAAUAGAAUCCUCCCAGCCGAAUUUGAAAACUGGACGUUAUCCUGCUAACACUUAGCUUUCGUCAACAACUCUGGUGGAAGUGAGAGCUCCAUGCAACGCAAGUAAUAACCCGGCCGGAACAUGGUGUGCUAAAUAAUAAAUUAUAACUUAAUGAAACGUCAAGGCAGAAAAAUUUUCCUCGAGGAAUUUUAAUAAUCGAGGUUCUCAAAUAACUCGAGGAAUCAUUUCAGCCCUAGUACAGAUCGAUAGCCGCUGCACAUAAGCUCAGCGUGGUUAGGCGUUGGAGACGAAGGGCUGCGUCCUUAAUAGCAGAUUUAGAGCAGCGGAGACAUCAGCGGCUUAUAGCCCAGUGUGGCUUAUAUAUAUACACGUUUCCAGUUUCUUUAAAAAAACUUUGUGGGUGUGGCGUAUAGUGAGGUGCGCUCUAUAGUUAGGAAAAUAUGGUUCCUGGAACAAUGAAUAUGAUAUUUAGCUAGUAACAAUGAAGGCUUUAUGAGAAACUCAGAAUUGUUGAGCAUUUUUCAGGGAGACCAAGUAAGAAAUCUUCCCAUAACAGCAUAAAUUGUGCUUCUAUGUUGUUAUGGAUAAAGUCACACAGAUUCUGCCAAAAAGCAUUAACGUUUUUAUUGGAACUGUGCUAAAUAGAUCAUGUUGGUAGUGAUAUUAUUUGAGAUUGAAGCAGUGUCUAUGAUGUAAUAUUAGGGUAUAUUAAGCAUAUCCUAUUAUUUCAGGUGAACAGUGACCUGCGCAGUACAGUUGAUAAAUCGUGGCUGCGCUGCAUUUGAUAACAGAUUGCCAUAUAACUUAUUAAUACGCAAAAAAGAACUUGCGGUGAUUUGUAUUUGUAAAUGUCUGUUUAAUUUAACUCCAAUAAAAACCUGUUUCACCUGUC